GUUCUAGAAUGCAUGGCACAGGUCUCAGAAUAUGGUAAAUUGUGCCCUAAAUGGUAUAAGGCUUCAUUGAUAGAGAAAUAGAGAAGAUUUUGUUUUGAAGAAUCCAUAGUGAGAUACUUCCAGGGAAGUGUGAACAACUUUGCAAGAAAUAAAUAGAGGAGAACUUGAAAAGGAUUGCUCCUCUCACAUGGACCACACCAAGUACUCUUCCUAGGAGAAUGAAACAUCACUUAGGAGACUGAAUUGAGACGGAUUGAGAAUUCACUUUAUUAGAAGAAACACCUUCAUAUUUCUCAUUAGUAAAUCUAGACGGUGCUAUGCAGUCAUGAUCAUAUUCAUCUAGAUCUCACAUCUUUGCAAUUCAGGACCAAUGGGAUCCAUAAGUAUUACAUGAAUGUGUUCUAGUGGUAACUAUAAAGAAACACAAAUAAUUCGGGGCGCCUGGGUGGCCCAGCCAAUUGAGCGUCCGGCUUCAGCUCAUGUCAUGAUCUCACGGUUCGUGAGUUUGAGCCCUGCAUUGGGCUCUGUGCUGACAGCUC